CUACAUAUAGUGUGGCAUGUAAGCUAUCCAUUGUAGCUUACAUCCCAAGCAGAUUGGCAUGUAAGCUAUCCACUCUAGCUUACAUCCCAAGCCACACACCCACAUACUCAUGUCUAUAUAAGGGGCCUCAUGCCCACCAUGUAUGGGAGUCUCUCAUCCCCACACGCUCUCACACUCACCUAUGAGGCAAGAAGCCCAUGGCUCUCCUCUCCAAAACAAUUCCAAGAACAAUUCUGUACUACAGAUACACCUCAUAUACAAACAUGCAUGAGUAGGGGUAUUAUCUCUCCGGAGAGCCUCGAACCUGGGUAAAUAACUGCGUGCUACUACCCUAUCUCGU
rnacentral:lncRNA from 1 species